rnacentral:rRNA from 1 species
ACUGCUAUCGGAUUGAUACUAAGCCAUGCGAGUCUUUGUAGCAGUACAAGGCGGACGGCUCAGUAACACGUAGUCAAUCUAACCUAUGGACGAGGAUAACCUCGGGAAACUGAGAAUAAUACUCGAUAGAUCAUUAUACCUGGAAUGGUUUAUGGUCCAAAUGAAUUUCGCCAUAGGGUGGGACUGCGGUCUAUCAGCUUGUUGGUGAGGUAAUGGCCCACCAAGGCUAUAACAGAUACGGGCUCUGAGAGGAGAGGCCCGGAGAUGGGUACUGAGACACGGACCCAGGCCCUAUGGGGCGCAGCAGGCGAGAAAACUUUGCAAUGUGCGAAAGCACGACAAGGUUAAUCCGAGUGGUUCCUGCUAAAGGAAUCUUUUGUUAGUCGUAACACCACUGAUGAAUAAGGGGUGGGCAAGUUCUGGUGUCAGCCGCCGCGGUAAAACCAGCACCUCAAGUGGUCAGGAGGAUUAUUGGGCCUAAAGCAUCCGUAGCCGGCUUUGUUAGUUUUCGGUUAAAUCUAUAUGCUCAACAUAUGGGCUGCCGGGAAUACUGCAAAGCUAGGGAGUGGGAGAGGUAGACGGUACUCCGUAGGAAGGGGUAAAAUCCUUUGAUCUAUGGAUGACCACCUGUGGCGAAGGCGGUCUACCAGAACACGUCCGACGGUGAGGGAUGAAAGCUGGGGGAGCAAACCGGAUUAGAUACCCGGGUAGUCCCAGCUGUAAACUAUGCAAACUCAGUGAUGCAUUGGCUUGUGGCCAGUGCAGUGCCGCAGGGAAGCCGUUAAGUUUGCCGCCUGGGAAGUACGUACGCAAGUAUGAAACUUAAAGGAAUUGGCGGGGGAGCACCACAAGGGGUGAAG